UGCCAUAUCAACGCCGGUUCUCAUACGAUCAUCGAAGUUAAGCAACGUCGACCCUGGUCAGUACCUAGAUGAGUGACCGCUUGGGAAAACCAGGU